rnacentral:rRNA from 1 species
CGUAUUAUAUACAGAAUAAGCAGAUAAUGGAUGCCUUGGACGCUAUAGACCGAAGAAGGACGUACAUGACCACGAUAGUCGCUGGGGAGCUGUCAAGAAGCUUUGAUCCGGCGGUGUCCGAAUGGGGAAACCCUCCCGAUUUUAUCGGGAAUCCCCCGCUUUUAGCGGGGAGAUGGGAACGCCUCGAACUGAAACAUCUAAGUAGGGGCAGGAAAAGAAAUCAACGAGAUUCCGUAAGUAAGCGGAGAGCGAAAGCGGAACAGUCUAAACCCAUUCAUGUUUCGCAUAUGGAAAUUCUAAAUAUUAAAUUCUUAAUCUCAAAUAAAUCCUAAAUUAAAAAUAUCAAAUGUUUUAAAUUUUGAUUUUAAUUAUUUAUUUGGAUCUUAGUAUUUGUAAUUUUGGAUUUUCGCAUGCGGAGCAUGUAGUGGGGGUUGCGGGGCAGACAAUAUGAGAGAAAUAAGGAUAAUUAAAUAGUUUGGAAUGGCUAGCCAUAGAGCGUGAAAGCCGCGUAAAUACAAUUCUUAUUUCCUCUAGUUUGUACCCAAGUACCAUGAGGUACACUACCUUGUGGGAAUCCGGGGUGACCACACUCCAAGACUAAAUAUCAUAGCGUACCGAUAGUGAACUAGUACCGUGAGGGAAAGGCGAAAAGAAGGGUGAAAAACCUAGUGAAAUAGAACCUGAAAUUAUCUGCUAUCAAGCAGUGAGAGUCCCGAUUUAAUCGGGAUGAUCGCGUGCCUAUUGAAGAAUUAUCCGGCGAGUUUUUGAUUGUUGCAAGUUUAAGCCCGCUAAGCGGGCGGAGGCGUAGCGAAAGCGAGUCUUAACAGGGCGAUUAGCAGCAGUUGAAAGACCCGAAACCAGGUGAGCUAACCAUGAGCAGGGUGAACCCCGAUGAAAGUCGGGGGGAGGCCCGCACUCGUCAGAGUUACAAAUCUGUGAGAUGACUUGUGGUUAGAGGUAAUAUGCCUAUCGAACCUGGAGAUAGCUGGCUCUCCCCGAAAUAUAUAUAGGUAUAGCCUCUAAGCGCGUCGCUCUAAAGGGAAACAACCCAGAUUGUCGUCUAAGGUCUCUAAGUGAUACUUAAGUGUUAAACGAAGUCGAAUUCCCCAGACAACCAGGAGGUUGGCUCAGAAGCAGCCAUCCUUUAAAGAAAGCGUAACAGCUCACUGGUCGAUCACCGGGAGUUUGGCGCGAAAAAUUAACCGAGGCUAAAGUAUCCACCGAAGACACAGAUUUUCGUGCAUGGCACGAAUAAAUUCUAAAUAUUAAAUUCUAAAUCUCAAAUAAAUUCUAAAUACAAAAUAUCAAAUGUUUUGAAUUUAGAUUUUAAAAAUUAUUUGGAUCUUUGAAUUUUCAAUUUGGAUUUUUUCGCGCUGUGCAUGGGAAUGGUAGGGGAGCGUUGAGAGAACAGUGAAAUCCUUCUGUAAGGAUUAGGAUGGAGUGAUCUCAAGUGAUAAUGCCGGAAUGAGUAGCGCAAGUCCGAUGAGAAUUCGGACCGCCGAAAACCCAAGGUUUCCCCAGCUACAUUGUUUGACUGGGGGUGAGUCGGCACCUAAGGCGAGGCCCAAGAAGGCGUAACCGAUGGACGAGCCGUUGAUAUUCGGCUACAUAGUAAGUAUCGUUACCAGUUGGGGAUGGACAAAAGGAGAGUAAUCGAGCGCUUAUAGUGAAUGAGCGUUUAAGCUGUAAGACAGUUGGUCCUGGAAAAUCCGGGCCGGCGUUUAAUCGAGCAGUUAUGGAGAGUCCGAGUCGCAAGGUGAGGACAAUUUGAUGAUCUUUCUUUUUCAAGAAAAGAUUCGCAACGAGAUAUUUAUUAUGCCGUACCGUAAACCGACACUGGUGGGUUGGUCGAGAAGACUAAGGCGAUCGGGAAAAAGUAGUUCAAGGAACUCGGCAAAAAAGCUGGACGUAAUCUAGAGAGAUGUCCUGCCCGGUGUUACAACCGGGCCGCAGCAAAAGAGUGUUUUGCGACUGUUUAACUAAAACACAGGUCCGUGCGAACUCGAAAGAGGCGGUAUACGGGCUGAGACCUGCCCAGUGCUCGUAAGUUAAGUGAAUGGGUGAUCCCGCAAGGGUUAGCCUUGAAAUGAAGCUCGAGUGAACGGCAGCAGUAACUAUAACUGUCGACUAUAGGGCAGUUUUAAAAUUUGGCUAUUUGCUGGAAUAUCUGAGUAUCCUACACUAGUUGACUUCGUAUUAACUUCGGAGUUAAACUGAAAAUGUGUUAGGUGCAGACAAUCAGCAGGAAAGAGUUCCAAAAGAUAGAGUUAAUCUAAAUUAUUAUUUAGCCGGUUUUGUAGACGGUGAAGGCAGUUUUUCUGUCUCAAUCCGCAAUACUGGAGCUAAAAGAAGAUUUGGAUGGACAAUAGAUCCGUUUUUUCAAGUGUAUCAACAUAAAGAUAAUUCUCAUAUUCUAUUUAUCUUUAAAGAAGUUUUAGGAUGUGGAUAUGUUAGUAAGAAAGGAGGAAAUCCCUCAUGUUUUGUUUACUGUGUAGACAAAAUGGGUGACCUUCUGUCAGUAAUAAUUCCAUUUUUUGAUACUUAUCCACUAGUUGGAGAAAAGUAUCAGAACUUUCUUCUUUUUAGAGAAGUAGUUAUUAGAUUAUCUAAUAAAGAGCACUUUACGAAACAAGGUUUUAUAGAAAUUGUAAAACUUUGUUUUAGCAUGAAUAGGAACGGAAUUUAUAGAAAAAAUAGUUUGGAAACUAUACUAUCAUCUUUGGAAAAAUCCUCAGAGACUAUACGCCAAACUCCUGCAAGGGAGAUGAUAUAGUCCGAUCUCUAUGGCGACAUAGAGGAUCCCUGCAAUUUGUGGGGUGAUAACGUGAUGUCUAUGGUAGCGAAGUUCCUUGUCGGGUAAGGGUCGUAAAGAAACUUGCUCGAUCCCGACUAAGUCGGGAACACUCAGGAAUGUUACCAAAUGUGUUUAAGCAGAAAAAAUAGACCGAAAUUCGUGUUUGAGUGGAAAAUCUGGCUAUAUGCUGGAAUAACUCAGUAUCCAACAGUACCCUGAGCUUGUCGAAGGGUGACAAUCUGUUGGUGGAGUCAAUCAGCAGGCAACCCCCGAUUUAAUCGGGGAGAGUCCUCAACGACUAUAUGCCAGAGUCCGUUUCUAGCGGACAAGAUAUAGUCUGCUCUGCAUGGCGACAUGCAGCUAACAAAAAAUUCGAAGUUCCGACCCGCACGAAAGGUUUAACGACAGAACAACUGUCUCGAACUAUUACCCGGCGAAAUUGAAAUGGCUGUGAAGAUGCGGCCUACCUCUACUAGGACAAAAAGACCCUAUGGAGCUUUACUGUACUCUGGCCCUGUUUUGGAUUUUAAGAUAGUUUAGUGUAGGAGGGAGUCUUCGGACAACGAUGAAACACCUCUCGUUUUGGAAUCUCAAAACUAACCUAUGACAGCUGAAAACGCUGUUGGAGACAAGGUCAGACGGGCAGUUUUACUGGGGAGGUAUCCUGCUAAAGAGUAACGCAGGAGUACCAAGGUGCACUAGGCUCGAAUGGAAACCGAGCGAGUCGUGUAACGGCAUAAGUGCGCUUGACUGUGAGAGGGACACCUCGAGCAGGUGGGAAACCAGGUCGUAGUGAUCCUCGGAUCCCUCGUGGGAGGGACCGGGCUUAACGGAUAAAAGCUACCCUAGGGAUAACAGGCUGAUCGCCGCCAAGAGUCCAUAUCGACGCGGCGGUUUGGCACCUCGAUGUCGGCUUUGCGCAAUGUGCGCAAUUGGGCCACUCGUUGAGCAAUUGACGAGAAAAAAUAUUUAGCUCAUAACGGUGAACCCCUCAUUGUAUUACGUGUUAAUUUCGGUUAACAUAAGUACGAAAGGGCAAUACCGUGGGAAGUCGAGGAGUUUUAACCAAGAGGCAAAGACAAAUUUUGAUAGGAACUUUGUUAGGAGACGCUCAUUUAGAGCUUAAUGGAAAAUAUGUCCGCUUACGGGUUGAUCAUUACAGCCCGCAGAAGGAUUAUACUUUCUGGAUGGCUUCGGAGUUUACACCAUUUUCUUUACCACCUCGGAUUAUUUCGAGAGUUGAUAAGAGAAAUGGCAAAACUUACACAAGAUGGCAUUUUUCUACCAAAAGUCUGCCUAUUUUAUCUGAAUUUCGGAACAUGUUUUAUAAAGAGGGUAAGAAAAUCGUACCUCCAAACAUCUCUGGAAUGAUGGAUAAUUUGUCUUUGGCAAUUUGGUAUAUGGAUGAUGGAUUUAGAAGAAGAGACUCAAAAGGUUUCUAUCUCUGUUCAUCUUCAUUUACCCAUGAAGAACAAAGCAUUCUACAAAGAACGCUAUGGGAAAGGUUUAAGCUGGAAAGUAAGAUUCAUCACCAACGCGAGUUGGAAAGAAUUUUUAUUCCAUCUGCUUUUUCCGAUAGGUUUAACAAUUUAGUUAAACAGUUUAUUCUUCCAACUUUAAGUUACAAACUUCUUUGACCCCGUAACGACUUUUCUGAUUAUGGAUAAUCGGAAGGAUUCCACUAACUAGUGGGAUAACACGCUAAGCUCCCGAAUGAUGAUUUCGGGAUGAUGGUAUAGUCUAACCCUCGUAGAAAUGCGAGAAAUGGUUGCAUCCCAUCCUGGGGGGGCAGUACCUCCCAAGGGUCCGUCUGUUCGCCGGUUAAAGGGGUACGCGAGCUGGGUUCAGAACGUCGUAAGACAGUGGAUAAAAUGGCUAUGUAUAGCCAUUUUCUUGAGACUAAGUGCUGUCUAACUUUCUGAAAAUAGACGCUUUUUGAAAAUGAGGAACUGUUAUAAAAAAGAAAGUCUCCUUGAGACCCAAGGAGAAUAAAUCUGACUAAAUGCUGGAAACCCUGUGUAUCUGGUACUACUGUCUAUCAAAAAAAGAUUGUAAAAAUGUAUCCAGUGCAGAUGAUCAGCAGGAAAGACCCCGUCUUUGGCGGGGAAUCCUCAGAGACUAUAUGUCAGAGUACGUUCAGUUUACAUGAACGUACAAGAUAUAGUCCGAACUGUAUGGCGACAUACAGAGUAAGGCAGAAAUGUCUUACCCCCGAUUAAAUCGGGGUAACAUUAUUGUCGGUCUCUAUCCAGUAGGGGCGAGGGGUUUUUGAGGGAGUCUGACCUCAGUACGAGAGGACCAGGUUGGAGAGACCUCUGGUGUGCCGGUUGUAGCGUCAGCUGCAACGCCGGGUAGCUAUGUUUCUAUGGGAUAACCGCUGAAAGCAUAUAAGUGGGAAGCCCUACCCAAGAUGAGAAACCCAUUUCUGAUAGCAAUAUCGGGAGAGAGACUCGUGGAAGAAUACCACGUUAAUAGGUCAGCAGUGUACGCACGGUAACGUGUUUAGCUUACUGAUACUAAUAUGUCGAUUGAUAAUACAGA